rnacentral:misc_RNA from 1 species
GGCACAGUGAACGAAACAUGCGUUUUACUACUGGAAUGAGGAAUCUGUCAGGGGGUGUUAUGGGAUCUUGGCACUCAGAAUCUGGUGGUAACCUGGAUGAAAGUUUUCCUUCCUCAUUGCUAGAUGAGUUCAAAAGCAGUAAAACUAAAUGUUUUGAGCUCUCGGAAAUUACAGGUCAUGUUGUUGAGUUCAGUGCCGAUCAGUACGGAAGUCGAUUCAUUCAACAGAAACUUGAAACUGCUACAACAGAAGAGAAAAACAUGGUUUUCAAUGAAAUUAUGCCGCAAGCUCUUUCAUUAAUGACAGAUGUUUUCGGUAAUUAUGUGAUUCAAAAGUU